GGCUCGGUGCUGUCCAAGAAGAUACAGAGACUAAAAAAAUCAUAAGAAGCAAAAUAUGACUGCAGGGAAAAGAAGCUGGAGAGAACAGAAGGGGCUGUUUCCAAAGUGACCUACAGACAUUGGAAUGAAAUCAUUAUUUACUGUGUAAAAGAAUCACUCUCCAAAGCAUCAGCCAGGGUCUAAAUGUGCCAUUCUGCCUUUUAAAAGUACCAACAUCACAGGAUUUUUCUCAGAUUAAAGCUUCCAUGGAGUCGGAUCUCUCAAGCCUGGCCCUUGAGAAUUGUGGGCCUCCUGUGAACUGGUCUUGCCAGAAGGGCUUGCUGAGUUUUCCAUUGUGUGGAAAAGAGAUCCCAUUUGCAGCCUGAAGCCUCAUGUUUCCUGUAGGAUUUCCACUCCUAGAAUUGCACACUUUGAAGGAUUUCUUAUAGCAGAAGUUUUUUGGGAACUAGGACUCUGGCUGGAUUUGGGUCUCUGGACUCUCAGGUGAAGUGACCUUGAGACACUAGGGCGUGCAGAUUUCCUUGCUGUUGUAAAGAGCUAUUGUUCGCACCCAGGAGCCAUGGUCUGAAUGGGGGUGUCACCUCUUAAAUUUGCAAAUGUCACAGGAUUUCUUCUAAAUGAAUGGUGCUAAGAACAUAAGGUCUGGCUGGCUUUCGACUUAGAGGCGCCUCCUCUAAAUUGGUCUUCAGACGCUAGGUUGGAAAGUGUUCCUACAUAUGCCAAAUAGCCCUUGCUAUGCAAUUAAUAAGCUUCAAAUUACCAUGGAGUUGCUGCCCCUGCAAAGAUUUUGGCAGAGCCUGGUUGUGGUGCCCCACUCCACUCCACCACCCUUAGCAGGUCCUUAUGGUUGCAUGGGGAAUCAUCGUGGAGCAUGCCAACCCAGCUCCAUCCUGGGAACAGCACCUGUAUUUUACCCUAAAAUUUCUGUCCCAUUAUAGCUCCUGUUAGGAUACAAAUGUAACUUCUCGGUUUCCACUGAUUUUACCCCCAGUCAUCUUUCCAUACAGACAUUGCUCCACUCCCCAGAGGAUUAUUGUGAGCAGAUGUGAGCUCUGCUGUCCCUUUGGACUGACAAAGACAGAGGUUUUGUCCCAAGUUGCUUUUGAACCUGUCCUGCACCCGUUACGAGUCCUCAGUCUCCUGCAAUUUUGUGGGUCAGUCACAUGUAAAACAGCACAGCUGGCUGGCAUGCUUUGCUCAUGAGGGGAGACAAGAGAAGAAUCCCUCUGCUCACACCAGACCUGCAGCUGCCAAACCUCACCAAAGCACCUGAGGAGCCCCCAGGGACUGAUGGUACAGAAGGGAGGUGAUGGAGGACAGCACAGCAGGCAGCCUGCCCUCCAUCUGGCUGUGAAGAAGGCAGGGCUGGGAACUGUCAGCAACAUCCCAGCAGGUCUGGCUGAUGGUGCCACCCUGAGGGCUUCCCCUGCCUUUGGGCAGUCCCAGCUGCUGCAGCUCACUUGACAGAGACUCAUUGUCUAUACUGUGCUUGGCUGCACUGGAGAUGAUGAAGCCGAGGACAGCAAUGGUUGCCUUCACAUCCCCUGACUGCAGAUGGGAAGGAGGGCGAGCUCUGUCACCUUGGGAAGGCCUCUGCAGAGUCACUGCUGCCCGUCUCUGGAGCGUGGCUCCAUCGGGGGACCGUGGUAAGGACAGCAGUGCUCACCUAACUGCGCACCUGAGGACAGCUUCAGGACCUUGUCAUACUGUGGGAGAGCAGAGCUUCACAGUAAACACCAGCUAACACACUGACUGCCAGUGUUAACACUAACAGUUCUUACCUAAAUAUUAAUACUAGUAACACUUACUAUGCGUAUUAUUAAUCCUAGUAGAGGCUGGUAGCGUUCUUUAGGCUGAGGCUUGCAUGAAGAAUACAAAAUUAAUUAACGUU